GCGGUCGGAGUCAUCUGUAAUGCACCUUUACCACAUUUCCUGGAUGUACUGAUGAUACAGAACAAGCGCUCUUUGACAUGACAGCUGAAGGAGCAGACGGGCACAGCGUGCAGGUCAAGUGGCAGAGUGGACUCAAACAGGUAUGUGAUGGCUUCCCUUAGAGGAUGCAGUGGAACAUGUUGUGAAAGCACUGGACAAGACUGCAGAACUGGAAGUAAAAUACAUCAACUCCAAUAAAGGUCGAGGGGUGUUUGCCAAAUCCCAUUUCUCAAAAGGACACUUUGUGGUGGAGUACAGAGGGACGUUGAUAAAUUUGGAAGAGUCAAUAAAGAGGAAGAGGACCUAUCACAGCUCAUGUGCUGUUUUCAUGUUUGACUUCUACUGGAAAGAAAAGACAUGGUGCAUUGAUGCAGCCCAAGAAGAUGGCAGCCUUGGACGCCUUGUCAAUGAUGACCACAGGCACCCAAACUGCAAAAUGAAGAGGGUCAUUACGGAGGCCAAAUCAUACCUCUGCCUAUUUGCUUUGAGGGACAUACAGCCAGGAGAAGAAAUUACAUAUGACUAUGGUGGAAGUGAUUGGCCAUGGAGGAAACAGACAGAAGAACAGCCUUGUGUGGCCGAGUCCUCUCACUCUCAGGUCUCCACACCAGCAG